rnacentral:rRNA from 1 species
GAUGAACGCUGGCGGCGUGCCUAAUACAUGCAAGUCGAGCGAACGGACGAGAAGCUUGCUACUCUGAUGUUAGCGGCGGACGGGUGAGUAACACGUGGAUAACCUACCUAUAAGACUGGGAUAACUUCGGGAAACCGGAGCUAAUACCGGAUAAUAUUUUGAACCGCAUGGUUCAAAAGUGAAAGACGGUCUUGCUGUCACUUAUAGAUGGAUCCGCGCUGCAUUAGCUAGUUGGUAAGGUAACGGCUUACCAAGGCAACGAUGCAUAGCCAACCUGAGAGGGUGAUCGGCCACACUGGAACUGAGACACGGUCCAGACUCCUACGGGAGGCAGCAGUGGGGAAUCUUCCGCAAUGGGCGAAAGCCUGACGGAGCAACGCCGCGUGAGUGAUGAAGGUCUUCGGAUCGUAAAACUCUGUUAUUAGGGAAGAACAUAUGUGUAAGUAACUGUGCACAUCUUGACGGUACCUAAUCAGAAAGCCACGGCUAACUACGUG